rnacentral:rRNA from 1 species
AUUGAACGCUGGCGGCAGGCCUAACACAUGCAAGUCGAGCGGAUGAAGGGAGCUUGCUCCUGGAUUCAGCGGCGGACGGGUGAGUAAUGCCUAGGAAUCUGCCUGGUAGUGGGGGAUAACGUCCGGAAACGGGCGCUAAUACCGCAUACGUCCUGAGGGAGAAAGUGGGGGAUCUUCGGACCUCACGCUAUCAGAUGAGCCUAGGUCGGAUUAGCUAGUUGGUGGGGUAAAGGCCUACCAAGGCGACGAUCCGUAACUGGUCUGAGAGGAUGAUCAGUCACACUGGAACUGAGACACGGUCCAGACUCCUACGGGAGGCAGCAGUGGGGAAUAUUGGACAAUGGGCGAAAGCCUGAUCCAGCCAUGCCGCGUGUGUGAAGGAGGUCUUCGGAUUGUAAAGCACUUUAAGUUGGGGGGAAGGGCAGUAAGUUAAUACCUUGCUGUUUUGACGUUACCAACAGAAUAAGCACCGGCUAACUUCGUG